rnacentral:rRNA from 1 species
UACAGAGGGUGCGAGCGUUGUCCGGAAUCACUGGGCGUAAAGGGCGCGUAGGUGGCCACCAUAAGGCCGCGGUGAAAGUCUGGGGCUCAACCCCGGAUCGGCCGCGGCGACUGUGGGGCUAGGGUACCGUAGAGGCAGAUGGAAUUCCGGGUGUAGCGGUGGAAUGCGUAGAGAUCGGGAAGAACACCAGUGGCGAAGGCGACGUGCUGGGUUGCACCUGACGCUGAGAUGCGAAAGUGUGGGGAGCAAACGGG